rnacentral:lncRNA from 1 species
AUGAGAGCAGGCAGGGCGGAGUCUGAGCUGGAGGCUCAAGGCAGAGAAGCAGACAACAUGGAGCAUUCUGGAUGUGCCUCUGGAGAGGGCCGUUUUGCCACCUCCACCCCAGUGCCGCCAUGGGGACAGGCAGCCGUGGGACCAGGGCCAGAGGGAGGCUCAAUCUCACACAGAUCUGAGAGGCAGGUGAGCAUGAAGUCUUCUCCAUCCUGGCCUCUCUGCCUCCCCUCAAAGCCACAGAUACUCACCUUCCUUUGCUCUAUUUCGGCCUCAGCCCUGCCUGUUAUCAGCUCACUACCUCAGCUCAUUACCUGAGGACAUUUUCCCCAGCAGGGCGCUCAGGUGAGCUUUUCCAGCUGGUGGCAGUUGGGUGCUGACCCUGAAGUGGCCGAGCAGGGGGCCUCGGGGUUACAAGGCCCUCGAGGUUUGGGGCAACAACGUGUGUGCUGAGCUAACUACAGAGCGUCUGGGAUGCCAUGGUGAGUGUUUCUGUGGUGACUCAGGCCAGCCUGCCCGCGGCCUGAAGAUCUGUUAACUUGGGAACCUUCUCUGGUGCCAGUGUCCCUUCAAAUAAGACAGGUUAACUUUCCGGUGGUAGAGUAGCGAGCGAAAUCGUAACUGGAGUCGUCCGUGGAAGUGAAGUGAGACAAACGUCUGACCCGUAGCUCCAGGAAAUGCUAAAAUUUUCAGCCGGGUGUAAAUCGUUCCACAGCUAUUACAGUUUUUGCUGAAGAGGGAGCAUCCGGAAGGGUGUUUUGCCGCAUUUAGGAAUGCAAAGAAAGAAAAAUAAAACAAGAAGGUGAUUGGAAACUCUAGUCAAGGCUUAUAGAAUCAAGACCCAAGUUCUCAGAGUACACAGGAAAAAUGUCAUGAUAUGCUGACUUAUUCCUAUCCCUAACCCCAGAGAUGGUCUCUUCUUGUUUUUGUAAUGGUAAAAGUAAAUAUUGGAGAAACAAACAAACAAAAAAUUUACGCAGAAUCCUGUGACUUAACAUGCCACGAUUAUUUGCUUUGGAUGGCUUGGUUUUAAUUUACUUGAGCCGUUUCUGGUUUAAAUAUCACUUACAUAUUUGAAAUCUAAAUAACGGUUAUGAUUGCCAAACAACUGGCAAGUUUGAUCAAAACCCUUACAGCAGACAGACCGGAGGCUUCUCAAGAGAAUUUCCCCAGUUAUUCACUCCUCUCUCAUGUAUCUAACAGUAAAUUGAUGAAUCUUUGAGAAGGGAUUUAAGAUGAAUUAGAGGAAUAAAGAUACCAAUGAACAAACUGACUACCCACUAUUGUAUAGGUCAGAGGCUCUCAAAUUCAGGGCAGGUUUUUAAAAAAGGUUUUAUUUAUUUUAUUUAUUUAUUUAUUUAUUUAUUUAUUUGAGAGGGAGAGAGAGCAUAAGUGGAGGGAGGGGCAGAGGGAGAGGGAGAAGCAGGCUCAUAGAGCAGGGAGCCGAUGCAGGUCUCCAUCCCAGGACCCUGGGAUUAUGACCCCAGCCGAAGGCAGAUGCUUAACUAACUGAGCCACCCAG